GCUUGCUUCAGCAGCCCAUAUUAAAAUUGCAAUGAUACAAAAAAAGGUUAGCAUGGCCCCUAUGCAAAUUCAUGAAGCACUCCAUAUUUUU
rnacentral:snRNA from 1 species